UACAGAGGGGGCGAGCGUUGUUCGGAAUUACUGGGCGUAAAGGGCGCGUAGGCGGCCUUCUAAGUCGAACGUGAAAUCCCCUGGGCUCAACCCAGGAACUGCGUCCGAGACUGAAAGGCUUGAAUCCGGGAGAGGGAUGUGGAAUUCCAGGUGUAGCGGUGAAAUGCGUAGAUAUCAGGAGGAACACCAAUGGCGAAGGCAGCACUCUGGGACGUGACUGACGCUGAGACGCGAAAGCGUGGGGAGCAAACAGG
rnacentral:rRNA from 1 species